UAAACAAGAAGCACAUGUAGGACUGUUAGGGCUGUGGAAUCCUCUUGGAUGAGAGGUGAAACGUCUUCAGGAGUCUCAUCUUAAUGACGGCUGCCAUCAUUGGUUGCUGAUUGCAGAAUUUCCCUACAGGCUCCAGGGAUAACGCGGUACAGCCUCCCAAUUGGG